rnacentral:rRNA from 1 species
UCAUUGUCGAUGCSUCACAAGCAGUGCAACCCGUGAAUUUGUUUGUCUACUACGGGGUGGUUCGAGGCCUCAAACGUCUCGACCCCUCGUGYCGGGAGGCGCCCACCUCGUGUGGUCUCUUCUUGGCCAAACAACAAACCCCGGCGCGAAAUGCGCCAAGGAACUCCAAAUUGUUUAGUGCGCUCCCGUCGACCCGGACACGGUGCUCGUGCGGGGGCGUCGCGACACACGAAAAACCUAAAAUGACUCUCGGCAACGGAUAUCUCGGCUCUUGCAUCGAUGAAGAACGUAGCGAAAUGCGAUACUUGGUGUGAAUUGCAGAAUCCCGUGAACCAUCGAGUCUUUGAACGCAAGUUGCGCCCGAAGCCAUUAGGCUGAGGGCACGCCUGCCUGGGUGUCACACAUCGUUGCCCCAAUCCCAGAGCCUCGUGCUAGGUCCUGAGYGAGUGGGGCGAAUGUUGGCUUCCCGUGAGCAACGUCUCGCGGCUGGUUGAAAACCGAGUCCAUGGUGGAGAGCGCCAUGAUAGAUGGUGGUUGAGUGAAGCUCGAGACCAAUCGUGCGCGUCUCUCCGUCGGCUUCGGGCUCUGUGACCCAAGANCGUCAUUCGAUCGCUCAURACGAGACCUCAGGUCAGGCGGGGCUACCCGCUGAGUUUAAGCAUAUCAAUAAGCGGAGGAAAAGAAACUAACAAGGAUUCCCCUAGUAACGGCGAGCGAACCGGGAAGAGCCCACCAUGAGAA